rnacentral:rRNA from 1 species
GCAGUAGCCGCGGUAAUACGAAGGGUGCUAGCGUUGUUCGGAAUCACUGGGCGUAAAGCGCGCGUAGGCGGCGUAGCAAGUCAGAGGUGAAAGCCCGGGGCUCAACCCCGGAAUUGCCUUUGAAACUGCUAUGCUAGAGUGUCGGAGGGGAUAGCGGAAUUGCUAAUGUAGAGGUGAAAUUCGUAGAUAUUAGCAGGAACACCGGUGGCGAAGGCGGCUAUCUGGACGACAACUGACGCUGAGGCGCGAAAGCGUGGGGAUCAAACAGGAUUAGAUACCCCGGUAGUCCCUGUCUCUUAUAC